UACGGGGGGUGCAAGCGUUGUCCGGAAUCAUUGGGCGUAAAGCGUUCGUAGGCGGUAUAUCAAGUCUGGUGUUAAAGCCCGAGGCUCAACUUCGGAUCGGCACUGGAUACUGGUAAACUAGAAUGUAGUAGAGGUAAGGGGAAUUCCUGGUGUAGCGGUGAAAUGCGUAGAUAUCAGGAGGAACAUCGGUGGCGAAAGCGCCUUACUGGGCUAUUAUUGACGCUGAGGAACGAAAGCCAGGGGAGCAAAUGGG
rnacentral:rRNA from 1 species